UUUUUUUUUUUUUUUGCUUGUGAAGCAUAUCAACCAGGAAAAUGUACCUUCAAUUGGCCCCCUUUUCUCAUGGCAAAUUAAAUUUUUUUAGUUACAACUUACAAUUGUGGUGCAUUUUAUUAAUUUGGUUUAUUAGCAAUAUAAGUGAUUAUGUCCACUUAGUUGCCAAAUAUCUUGUAAGCUGCAAGGGUACUAAAGUUAUUUUUUCAUGCUCGAGGUGAGCACUGAGAGGCCCUCUUUGAUUAUUUUUGAUACCUUAGGGAAGGCCAGUAGUGCAACUGUUAGAAAUUCAGAGAGAGUUCCUGAAAUUAUCUCAAAAUAAACUAUGAUCCCAAAAUUAUUUAUUGAAGAGGCAAGCAUGGGAAAUAUGAGUAUAAGUUUUCUAAUCUAAAGAGACAUCUAGAGAUGUUAUGCUCAAUUGAUAGUCAUGAGAUAGAGAAGGGCAAUAAAAAGUAUGAUAAACUAUAUUGCAUUUCAUCAUUGCACAUAACCUCGAUGAAGUAUCUCCAAAGAAUAAAGAUACCUCAUAGGAACGGAUCAUCAGCUGGGAAUUGCCUUUCUGAAGAGCCCCCCAGGCAGCUUUGCUGAGGUUGGCUGAAGUGAGCAAGAACCACCUGUUGAUGGUAACAGUAUGGAAGAGAACAAGAGUUCAACAGGUAAAAGCAUGAUUUAUGAGGUGACCUAAAAUCCAGAAAGAAAAUGUGAGAUGGACUCUUACGCAAGAUUUUGGCCAUUAUACCGCGUGAAUGUCUUUAUGUGAGGCAUUGCACGACUGGAAUAAUUAUAAAAACACCAAACAUAAGUACCCCUUAAAAAAAAGUAUGGCUGGAUGUAAGUACCUAGAAGCAUUAGAGCCAAGAGUUUUUGUACUCAAACUAUACUACUACUAUGUUGGUGAGUCAGAAAAUGCAUUGAUGCUUCAUGCAGUUAUUUGGAAAAGAGCAUCUGACUGUCUGUAGUUUGGUUAAUGUCAAGAUUCAUAAUGGUUCUACACUUUUGAGAUCAUAGUAACUACUUGGAAUAAAAUGCAUGAAAAAAUGUAAAAAACAGCUCAAAGAUCCACAAAACAGAAAUUGGUAAGAAUCCUGAAAAGUCUUUGUUCUUAUUUAGGCAUCUCCAUCAAGCAAAGAUGUUUUAAUUAUAAUUUUUUUCAUUUUCCAAAAGGACCAAAACAAAUCUUGACACAAUGAAAGAGUAGGAGUGGAAAGUUUUUCGUCUGUGUGAUCAAAAUGCCCAGGUGUCAUGAAAUAUUAUCGAAUAGGACUAACAUGUAAAUUUUGAUGACUAGAGAAGAAAAGGGGUUAUUGCUCAUACAACAUAAUCAGAUUUAAGCUACAGCACAAGCAAAAAGCAGGAUAACAGUGUGAACAUUUGUAAGCUUUUUCUGUCUAAGGAGACCACGAUAAAAAUGGCAGCAGACAUUCAGCAAUAUUUUUUUUCUCCAAGUUUCAAUACAGCAAAAUGUAAACAACCGCAGAUAGGAACUCAUAUACCAGCGACCACUAUGGUUAGCCUUCCAUUUUGCCCAAUAUUUUUUCAGAAAUGCUUUCUCCACAUUCUUUAGUGGACUUGGAAUGGCAUUUCCAGCUGCAUAUCCCUGCAAGGAGAGCGAGAGCAGAAAGAACGGGAAAAAAUAACUGAGUACAGAGCACAAAUCAAAUAAAAGCUCUGAAGAUUUCAGAUAAAAGUAAGAAAGCACAAAAAUAGUUCAUCCAUGUUCAAGCCCCAUGCAAAGCUAAAACUCAUGUAUUAUAGCAAUCCAUCUUAAUACAUAAAUGCUCUCCUAUUCAAGAGUACCUCUAAAGAAUUUCUGACAUCUUCCACUGUUGGCCAUAUUAUUAAUGGCUCCCCUACCCCAAGGGGCUUUUUAUCUCUUGUAACUCCAGCACUCAUAGAUGAUGCAAAUUCCAACAUCCACUUCUCAUCCAAAGAACCUAGGGAAGAAAACUGCAACAAUAACAUUACAGGAAACGAUUGAGAAGAUCUUGCAAACUUUGUCAUGCUACAAAAGAACUGAUAGGAAAGAUACAGGUUAAAUGGCAGGAAAUAUUAUGCAGGGUAAAAUCCUUUGUGAAAAAUAUUUUAUGGUAGGAAAGAAACAGGUUAUAUGUUUCAUGUAUCAGCAAAAACUAUUGCCUGAAGUACAUGCCAAAACCCCAAAAGAUAGCUAUAUGUAUUCAAAAGAUUGCUGACAGUCAUCAAGCUACUACAAGUAGUUUUUUGAACUGAGAUGAAAUUCAUAAAGGUAAGACUUAGUAUAUUUUCCUGGAACACUUGUGAAUGUAAAGAAUUGAUAUCUUACCUAUUCCAGCAUUGAAAAUUGCUUUCCUGGAUAUAAAUAUAAUAUGUGCUUAGCAAAGUCCAAAGAAAGUAGACCAGUGAAAACAAGUAUUACUACUAAAACAAAUAACUAGGUCAUCAUUUUCUGAAACAGUGUAUUCCCCUACAUGCCAAGAUUUCUCCCAUUAUGCUGGAUACUACAUAGAAUCAAAUGAUGGAAAUGCAGAGAAGAAUUCAUUCUUACACAUGCAGAUAUCAAAGAGAGCCCAAGCAAGGACCAAAAAUACUUGAUAGACAAAAGAAGAAUUUGGGAUCCCAAAUUACCUGGUAAACAAGAGGAGAUUUUUGGAACUCCUCACUGAAAGUACACUCCUGAAGCACAGUACGUAACUUCAUAUGUCCCCACUUUUUUAAAUUGGAACCUGAAUGAUAUCCAGGGACUGAUGCAAUUAGCCUGACCUGGAAAUUAUACAACUCUUAGAUAUUCAGCAUAAGCUAUCAUAAUCAAGGAUAAAGAUGAUUUAAGACAAUCCGGAAAAAACAAAAAGAGAAAGGGAAACACCAGAAGGCAACACUUAAGAAGAUCAUGUAAUAUGAGCUUAGACAGUAACUAGAAAAUAUUAAUUGUUCAGAUGCUCUUCAAUUGAUCAUUCGAUACAGUUUCUAUGGAUUCUUCAUAAUGUAUUUACAGAAACCAUUUUGGUCCCUGGAGUGGUGAUAGGCAGAAAAAGAAUUUUGGGUGCAGAAACAUUGAAGACAGAACAUUUUCCUACUUCAAAAGCAUGCGACCAUGUAAAAAAGUUUUUUCACAGCCUUAUAUCAACAGCAAAUAGAUUAUCAAAGUUACAACAAAACUUUGAUGUGAAUGGCAUCUAAACUAGAACAUGAAACCAAUAGGUGACAUCAUCUUACAAAAUUAUGAUCAUCUCAAAAUGAGUAGUCUCAGGUAUCCAGUAUACAUGAUAUUAAUCCUUAACAUCAUUUCAUACCAAGCAAAGCAAUGUACACUGGGGGAAUUGAACAAUUCAAAAGACUUGAGUAUCAAAUAGUACCACUGCACUGGUGUAAUCAAACUUUUUGAAGAAUGAAGGCUUAAUACUGUAACUGCCAAGAGCAGGUAAAUCAACAUUGAAUUCUGGCCACUGAAAACAACAGGACAAAAAUGAAACAAUUAUGAGAAGAAUAAUAGUCUAAUGAAACUUGUAAAGGAGAAAAGUAAGAAAGAGAAUGUCCUUUAACAACAACAGCAUUCAUAGGUUUUACUCUUAAAGCAAAUUCAAAAAGCAGUUAAUAUAGAUUCGAGAGUACUUUUGUAAUACAUUCUAAAAUCAGAAGUGACAAUCUUCAAUUAAAAAAAACCAGUCUCGUGAUGUCCAGAAAAUCAUACUAGCUUAGGAUAUAUGAAACCAGAGCAACUCACCUGAUCUCGAGAUUCUGCAAAACUAAAAUAUGUGUCGAGUGUGAAUUUUCAGUAAAAUUUUUAAAUCUCCAACUUAAUAUUCAAUAAGGCCCAAGAUAAACAAAUGAAUCUUCUAAGACAAACGGUAAACAAGAAUAUGCAAGCUUGUCAUUAGAAUGAAUAGGUGGAGAGAAACAACUAUCAUGAGUGACAAAUAAGACGACCAUGACAAGUUUCAGAGUAAUGUUUCUUUCUAUAAAAUCAUCAGAUGCUAGAUCAAUAAAAUGAGAUCUUCUGAUGAUCAAGUUUCAGUAUGGAAGGAGUAUGAGACAUACACUAUUACCUUUAACAUGGUCAGAUAAUCAAUUAAAUCGCUUUCAAAACCACAUCCUUUGCUUGCACCGUUAUUAUCCUUCCACGGAAAAUCUUGCAUCCACAGGCCUUGGCUCUUGUUAUUCCAAUCAACGUGUAUCAAAUUUGCCGUAUGCACAACAACCCUUACUCCUUGAGGAUAGACAAGAAGCAUAGCUUUGGAAUGAUGUGUUCCAAAUGAAAUUGGUAAUGGAGGUUUGUGAAGGAUCCAACUUGCAGGCUUUUUUCUCUGAAAAAAUGAUCAGCAAAUAAAAUUGAAGGCUUGCAUGCAAGACGAUUCAAGAGCAGAAAAUGGUGAAACUGCCAAUUUCGUAAACCUUCAUGUACUCCAGUAUGCCAUCACUCUCUCCAUGGAUGACCAAAACAUUAGGCACUUUUUUAAGCAGAGGACAUGCUACACCAAAAGGAAAAAAAAUAUCAGCAAGCACUCAAGGAAUAGUACAGACCUUGAUUAGAUGAAAUGAAACCAAAUAUGAUACUUUUUGACACUUUGACAGUCCUUAGAAGCAUAAUGUUACAGAUGACCUAAUAAAGGAUCUGGAUAAUUACCACAAGUCAAUAGGAAAAAAACCAUCCGUAUAGUGUGGACAUGCUCAUAAUAACUUACAAAAAUGAUAUUUUACUAUUCAAGAGAAACAACGAAAGAUUCAAUCAGUGUCAAAUCAAGACCAGCCAGUAACCACCAAGAAAUAUUGAAAACUACAAUCUCUCCAGAAACAACCCCAGUAAAUGACUGCAAUAUCUGAGCAUAGUUGAGAAACAGAAGUUGUUUAUGCACAGUGGUACUAAUGACAUAAAUAAGCAGAAUCAUAAAGCAAUGGAAUGUUAGAGAAUUCAACCAAUCAUUUCCUGCAUGAGAACUUUGCAACAGAUGAAUUGGUGGAGAGAAGCAGAAUUAUGGAAACAAAUAAAACAAAAAGCAAUGUUGCAAUGACUUGGAACAAUUUAAGGUACAACAUUGUCCGUUACAAAGCAAAACAAAUUUGCAUUAAACUCCAAGACUUUAUCAUCUCUUUGCUCUUUUUGAUGCACACUCUUGGUAGAAUUAAAAGAGUUCCCAGAAAUAUCAAAGAUCCCUUGAACGAGAAAGCAAGUCAGUUAAAACGCCACUAACGGAGUGAGAUUUACAACUAGUGCAAAUAGAACUUGCCAGAAAGUAGCCAAUCGAUGUCCACCAUGUAAUUAGAAAGUAUAGCAAGAAUAACAUUUCCCUGCAAAACAGAACAAUGUGUAAGGUGCUUAUUUGAGAAAGAAUGCCCAUCAGCUUCCAAGCUUACUAUUACUUCAGCAAACUUAGAUCUGCUCUUACAAUUUUCUAACCUAAAAGCAUUGUUAUUCAGCCUGAAGGAUCUCUCUAAGUAGUCUUCAUCCAUAUUUUCCACUCCCUCCCUGUCUUCUUGUUUCAGAUUGAAGGGAAAGCAAAAGGCUACAUGAUACUAAAAAACAAAGCAAUAAACCACAUCUCAUAUCCUAUAUUGCUCUUAGCAGCGUGCGGUUAAUUACCUAGCAGAGCUUACUAACAGGCACAUGCCCUCAAAUAUCAAAAUUCUAAACAUAACUGGUUUUCACUUACCUGAAUCACGUCAUUGAUUGAGACCGUGUUAGUAUUAGCCCAUGCUGGCAGCCCUUGCACCCGUAAUAAUCGAAAAGUUGACGGUAACUUAGAAUUAGGAACAUUAAAUUGACGAAUACCCUCCGAAGAUUUAUCUGUUUCCUUGCCAUUAUUCUCAAACCGUUUCUGACGAGAAAGAAAAACAAUUGAGGCAUAAAAACUGAAAGUUUCUCCGCAAGUAAUAUUUUCUACUAAAUAACAUUGCAUACAUUAUAUAUAAAAAUGCAAAACCAACCUGAAAUGGAGGACAAAAAGUACCUUUUUUGAUUGUUCAGCCAGAGGUUCCAAUUCAGAUUCACCGUUGAUUGUCUUCUUAUUACGAACCCUGUCUUUGCUAUAACUACUUUCUUCAUCCCAACACCUUUUCUGCUUAUUACUCAUUAACUUUUCAUUUUUCUCACCACCAGAAGCUACAUACUUCAAAAAGUAGUGGCCAGGUAUCAACUCUAUAAUAUCACCAUCCUCAAUUUUCCAUUUCUCUCCAGAUAAAAGCUUCUUCCUUUCACCCUUAGUUCUUAGAACAACAGGGUUUGUUCCUUCCUACAAUUUAGUUACUCAGAAUGGAAGAAAAAGAAUACAAAAGUUGAAGAAAACAAGACAUCAUAGGUUAGAUGAACAAAUUUCAUAUCGUAGAGAGACUUAUGAACGUGUAUGUCCCUGGGUGGAACAACAUAGUCUUGCGAGUUCAAAAAUGUUACCCUCCAAGUUCCCCAAAAUUUGAUUUUGUUCCAACAGUUUUUUUUUUUCUAUUGUUGCCCUUACAACCAAAACCCCAUCAAAAUCUUAAAGCUUCUUUAGUGUAACCUUCUGCUAACAAUAUUUCAAGUUUAAAUUUAUUUGCAAAAGUCAAUAUAGUAAAUUGAAAUAUAAACAACUGAAAAAAAAUUAUAACUUGUAAAACUUUUCAUUACUUAUCUGGUCAACAAUCUAUCAUCCUUUAACUCUGUCAUCCAUUUAUUUUCAAAAUGUAAAGAAAUAAAACCACAUCUUCCCUCUUGCAAAACUCUUUCUAGGCCUGAAUGGUCCACCCAACUGUUUAUUUCAGAAAUUGAGAGCAAUAAUCCUGGCUGUCAUUCCAGCAACAGGUUCUCCAGCUUUUAUUCUACUUUUUACUUCAUUUAUUCCUUAACUUUAAACUCUACUUUUUUUUCCCCAACUUAGCAACAUUCAUCAUAAAAACCUCGAGGCUCUUAGUAGAUAACAUUAGGUGAUUUCUUAUCGAUGUACAUUGCCAGAAAAAUGCAUAAUGUGCUUAGUUUCAUAGCAUAGCAAAAACGUCAAUAGUCAUC
rnacentral:lncRNA from 1 species